UCAACUUGAGAGUUUGAUUCUGGCUCAGAACGAACGCUGGCGGCAGGCUUAACACAUGCAAGUCGAACGAUAUAGUGGCAGACGGGUGAGUAACGCGUGGGAACGUACCUUUCACUACGGAAUAGCUCUUGGAAACGAGUGGUAAUACCGUA
rnacentral:rRNA from 1 species